UACGUAGGGCGCAAGCGUUAUCCGGAAUUAUUGGGCGUAAAGAGCUCGUAGGCGGUUUGUCGCGUCUGCCGUGAAAGUCCGGGGCUCAACUCCGGAUCUGCGGUGGGUACGGGCAGACUAGAGUGAUGUAGGGGAGACUGGAAUUCCUGGUGUAGCGGUGAAAUGCGCAGAUAUCAGGAAGAACACCAAUGGCGAAGGCAGCUCUCUGGGACGGUACUGACACUGAGACGCGAAAGCGUGGGGAGCGAACAGG
rnacentral:rRNA from 1 species